rnacentral:rRNA from 1 species
GACAGAGGAGGCGAGCGAUAUCCGGAGUUAAUGGGCGUAAAGGGUACGUAGGCGACUGGUCAAGUCUGGGGUUAAAGGCCACAGCUUAACUGUGGGGGGGCCUUGGAAACUGACCGGCUGGAGUGGGGCAGGGGUUGCGGGAAUUCCCGGAGUAGCGGUGAAAUGCGUAGAUAUCGGGAAGAACACCUGAGGCGAAAGCGCGCAACUGGGCCCUAACUGACGCUGAGGUACGAAAGCUAGGGGAGCGAAUGGG